ensembl:ncRNA lncRNA:CR46218 long non-coding RNA:CR46218
UCAAUUUCGAAUCGGAAACGGAAACGGGAACUGUGGAUAAAGUGUGUGUGUGGUUGACAGCGAACAAGCGGCAAGUAUGUCGUCACAGUUGUGUCACUAUCGACACCCACACACCGACAACCAGAGCGUGUAUUCCAGUCCAUAGGUGUGUGAGUGUGGCCACAGUCAACCCUUUUGAUGUCACUUGAAUUUUAAUGAAAAAUUCACACAUGCCACAAGCGUACAAGAAGAACAGGAGGCAAAGGAGCCGCCACCCACUCACCACCCACUUUCAUCCGCUGCAGCAGCUUGUCUACUGCCACUUUGUGCAUUACGUUCCUGUCACAUCGGUGGGUGGAUUGUACCGGGCUCGAAGGUGUGUGCAUGAUCUGAUGGGGUGUGGUCAAACCAGGUUCUGUUCUGGACGUUGACAGGCUUAGUCUCAGCGGAACCAUUCACGCUGGACCCCGCAAGUACUUCACCAUCGAGGCACUGCGAGAAAAAGUCUGCUCUCUCCACAAAAUUAUUUAAUAUAAAGGUUGAUUAUCCUUUUCAAAAUUGGAUGCGCUGCUAAGCUAAAACAGUUCAGAUACAAAUGAACUUGAGAUUUUCAUAUAAUUUAGAAUUACACGUUAAAGUUGACUACUUUCCAGUGGAUUUGCACACACCAGUGGGUCACAUAGUUAUAGACCAUGACGCUGAUGACCGACAAGCGCAGACACAGCGACGACAGUAGUGGGAUGAACUGAACUCCGACCCGUCCUGCGACUGCAACUCUGGCUCCAAUUUAGAAAGGUACUCGCUCAACUUCAAGUCCAACUCGUAAAAGGACUCUCCUUGAACUGUUGCAAGGAGCAAAUGCAUGACAUAUGGGCCAUAAUGAAUUUGGAUGCACAACCAACCAAUGGGAUUAUUUCGUCUGGAAGUCCAACAGUUACUCGGUUAUAGGUAAAGUAUAGGAUUACCUACUUGUACUGCGUACCGAAAAUAAUGAUAAUGAGGUAGACAAGCAUUCCGUGCACAUUAUGCGAUCAAAGGCGGUCUAAGCUGCUCCAUAUAAGCGUAUAAAUGCUCCCGGCUUCCACAUUUAUACUACCCAUUCUCGGCUUCACACUUAAUCUCACAAAUGCACUCUAAUAUGAUUAAGCACGUUUUUAGCUGACAAAUAAAUCAAGUGGCGAGCGGCAAGCGCGCUUAUGAAACCCACAGCCAUCUCCUCUCCUGGCAAUCCAAACAAACAAAGGCAGUCACCCACACAAAUAAACGGACGUAUAUCCCACCCAGCGACGUCUGCGAAAUAAACGUCUAUAUGGCUGCGAGUGCAAGUGCGAAAUAU